AACAAACGCUGGCGGCGUGCCUAAUACAUGCAAGUCGAACGGGGAAAGCUUUCGGGUGAGUACUAGUGGCGCACGGGUGAGUAACGCGUGGAUAAUCUGCCUUAGAGUGGGGGAUAACUAGUUGAAAGAUUAGCUAAUACCGCAUAAGACCACAAGAACUGCGGCUCAAGGGGUCAAAGGUUUUUUGCUCUAAGAUGAGUCCGCGUAAGAUUAGCUAGUUGGUAGGGUAACGGCCUACCAAGGCGACGAUCUUUAACUGGUCUGAGAGGAUGAUCAGUCACACUGGAACUGAGACACGGUCCAGACUCCUACGGGAGGCAGCAGUAGGGAAUAUUGCACAAUGGAGGAAACUCUGAUGCAGCGACGCCGCGUGAGUGAUGAAGGCCUUCGGGUCGUAAAGCUCUGUCGCAGGGGAAUAACACAAUGAAGGUACCCUGUAAGAAAGGAUCGGCUAACUUCGUGCCAGCCGCCGCCGUAAGAC
rnacentral:rRNA from 1 species